AUUGAAAGAUUAUGUUUUGUUUAUAUCACUAGUUCCCUACAUGGUUGUAGGAAAGGUAGUGGUAGUGUAAUUUUUUUGUUUGUAAAUUUGUGGUUAGUGUUGGAACCUCCUAAAAUGUCAUCUGAUAACAGUGGUGCGGGUGAAAAUGUUGAUAGAACUGCAGCACGCGAAUCUCUUCCACCAGCUAUAGAAUAUCCAGGACCGAAUAACAUCACAGUUUCACCAAAUCAGCCAAGACAACCAACAACAUUGCAGGACCUUCUAAGAUUUAGUGUCGAGGCGGCAGGUGGACAAAUGACGCAGAAUAAUGCUGUUGCGAUAGACGAAGAGAGACGAAAAUUUUUGGAAGCAGCUCUGAAGAGUCUGACAUUUGAUGUGAUAGAAGAGUUGUUAAAGGCAAUAAACAUCCUGAAAAAUGCUGGUACGCUGGAGCUGGAGGACGAUCCCUCUGCAUGUGAAGCAGCAUUGGAUACUAUUACACAGCAUGUUGAUAACAUGGACACUGCAAAUGAUUUCCACAAAAUUGGAGGCUUUUGUAUUUUCCAUCCAUGCCUGGACUCGGCACACAGCAGCUUACGUUGGCGUGCUGCAGAAAUCAUUGCCGAACUGACGCAGAAUAACCCUUACUGCCAGCAACGCAUUCUGGAGGCUAAUUUAUUACAGCCUUUGCUGAACCUCGUAGAUAAUGAUCCAGCCAGCCAGGUCCGCGUUAAGGCCCUCUAUGCUAUUUCUUGUCUUGUACGUGAGAAUAAAAAUGCUCUUCAAGAGUUUAUAAAACAUGCGGGAUACUCAGUCCUGCUCCGUGCUAUGCAGAGCAAUGUUGAGAAGUUGCAGGUGAAAUCUGCAUUCCUAUUGUCGAGUCUCUGUUCAAGCACAGAAAUAAAAGAUGAGCUUUGUAAGAUGGGAUUUAUAGAACAGCUCAUAGGACUGGUUGGACCAGAGGGAAGCCCAGCUGUUGAACAUCUGCUAUCAGCAGUUGUUGCACUUGUGUCAGAUCACGAAUUAUCUCAGCAAGAGUGUCGGAGGCCAGAACUGCAUCUUCGCGAUAAACUGUUCCAGCUUAUGCAAAACGUGUCUGGCAAGGAGGAAUUCAGAGCCAAGAUCUACUGGGAAAAUCCAGUUGGAUAACUUCAACAGGGGUGUCUUGAGGAAAACAAUUGAAGACUUCAGCUUGGUGCAGAAGACUGCCGCAAAACUUUGACCAAUACUCAAGAAAAAGUUUGGCUGGACUUGGAUUUUGGGUAUUAAAUCUCUGUAGAAUAUUUAGUCGUCCAUGGGAUGAAAGCAUAAAUGAAAUACAUGAGUAUGCCCAGUACUUGUUGAGGAUUGUCUUUAGUGGUGAUGAAGAAGAACGUUAGUGAAGUUUACUACUUAUAAUUUCAUCGUUUGAGAACCACACUCAUGAGGGAAGGCCACAAAAAUGUGUAGAGUCUACAGGCACAACUCCUGCAAUACUCAGUUUCAGCAAAUGAAAGUUGUGUCAUUAGAUUUUAUCAUUGUUAUUAUAAUGAAGUAUUUAAUUUAAAAUGUGAAUUAUAUUUAAAAACUGUUUCAUAGGUUAAAUUAAAAAUAGUGCUUUUUGUAAUAAUUCACAUAAGGAUUUUAUUGCAUACUAUGUUUCUUGUAAUUUAUUUCCCUUUAUACUGCACUAUCCGCACGAUACCUUUAUUUUUUCAGGUGAGAUAUAGGCUAAAUGUUUUUGUUUUCUACCUACCUUCAAAAAACACCAAGGCCAAGAAUAUUAAUUAUUUCAUUAAUCAAAGCCAUAAAUGCCAUAGUGAGCAAAUAAUAUAGAAUAAUAAUCAUGUCCUUAACCAUGUAACAUGGGAUCAGACCAUCAAACUCCUCUCUCAUAUGAGAAAUAUCACUGUAGAUGAGUUAGUACAAGAAACACAAGUGCUGACAAAAUCCAAUAAUUAGCUUCCAGUGGCCACUUACUUUCACCUUAGUGUACAGUAGACGCUAGAGCUGCUUAGCAGAAACACAAUUUGACUAAUUGUGUAGAAAACAACUUUACUACUGCAAUUCAUAGGUAGUUUCUAUACGCUAAUGUGUAAGUGUGUUUCCGUUGUGCCUGUCUGCAACUCAGCGUGUCAUCUUUAUGGUGAGUAGCAAUCUAGCUUUUCCUUAUAUUGCUGGUAUUUGCAAAAGAAAGGGAAAAAAAGUGCUUUAACAGAUCACAACAACUUGCAACACAACAACAAAAUUAUGUGGCAUGUACACAAAUGACAACUGUUAUACAACUGUCACCUCUCCCUCUGCAGAGUAUAGGUCAUUCAUGUUUUAUCUUCCUAAAUUUAUUUUUCAUUAAUAAAGUCAUGUUAGAUAUAACCCAUUAGUAAUGAGCAGAAAGCAUAGCAAUACAUAUGGAAGAAAUGGGUUGAUAAACCAAACAUAAAUAAUAAGGAAUUUUGCAGCACCAGAGAACACAUAAAAGUUAUUUGUUAAACUGACAGGAGAUUAAAGACUGGAACUAGCGAAAACUCUAGAAAUGACUUCAGUCCAAUAAAUGGGCAAACAUCAGUGUAUCUACAGAGUUCAAUGAAACUUUAUUGUAAAGUUACAUACAAAUAUGCUUGCUGUUCAACAACAAUAACUUAACUGAUUAUUAUUAAAAUUAUCAUUAUUACAUAUAAGAUCAUCAAACUAAAGACACACUUAAACAUGCUUUGAAUGUGUGCAUUGAUGAUACAUUGAAAUAUUUUCUCAUACAAUGUUUCAAAUUUUUCUUCAACUAGUUUUUAAAACAUUCUUAAUCAUUUUUAUGUGGCAGAAAAGGACACGUCAGUGGAUGGAGAACCUCUCCAAAUUUUGAUACGUGACAUGCACUGUGGUGUAGUUGCAGAGUACAUCGCUGUGGGGUAAAGAUGUCAGCACAUGGUAGACAAAUCAUCCACUCAGUAUCAUUGCAUCAAAUUAGUUCAUUCAUGCCAAUAGGCAACCCAAUGAACUGAGUUCCAAAGCUGGCUGUUGCUAUAGCCCUUCCUGGGCAGUCCCAGCAAUGAAUUACAUAUAUAUGCUCUCCUGCCAGACUGGUAUUCACUGCCCAUAUUGAUCACCUGUAACAUGAGUUAAAAACUAGGAGAGGUGCUCUAUCCACUGAUGUGUGGAUAUUUUCUGUAUGUCUUGUAGCUUUUCGCACAAUCACAUUCUGAAAUCCUGAAGAUGCUUAUGAAUAACUCUGUGUACAUGCAUUAAUUUCAUCCACAAAGUUCAUUGUGCUUAGGACUUCAAGUGUUUUUGUUGCUGAAAUAAAGUCAAUUUAUACUUUCGGUUCAUGUAAUAGAUGAGACACUAUGGACUUAAAACAGUUG